rnacentral:rRNA from 2 species
GGCAUGGCGCCCGCCUUAACUUGCAGUCGUAACAGGUAGCCGUAAGGGGGUACUCGAGCGGCGAACGGGUGAGUAACACGUGAGCAACCUGCCCUCGACUCUGGGAUAAGCCUGGGAAACCGGGUCUAAUACCGGAUACGACCUGCCUCCGCAUGGGGGCGGGUGGAAAGGUGCCUCGUUUGGGGUUUCCGGUCGGGGAUGGGCUCGCGGCCUAUCAGCUUGUUGGUGGGGUAACGGCCUACCAAGGCGACGACGGGUAGCCGGCCUGAGAGGGCGACCGGCCACACUGGGACUGAGACACGGCCCAGACUCCUACGGGAGGCAGCAGUGGGGAAUAUUGCGCAAUGGGCGGAAGCCUGACGCAGCGACGCCGCGUGGGGGAUGAAGGCCUUCGGGUUGUAAACCUCUUUCGGCAGGGACGAAGGUGACGUGUACCUGCGGAAGAAGCGCCGGCUAACUACGUGCCAGCAGCCGCGGUAAUACGUAGGGCGCGAGCGUUGUCCGGAAUUAUUGGGCGUAAAGAGCUCGUAGGCGGCUGGUCGCGUCUGCCGUGAAAGCCCGCGGCUUAACCGUGGGUCUGCGGUGGAUACGGGCCGGCUAGAGGCAGGCAGGGGCAAGUGGAAUUCCUGGUGUAGCGGUGAAAUGCGCAGAUAUCAGGAGGAACACCGGUGGCGAAGGCGGCUUGCUGGGCCUGUCCUGACGCUGAGGAGCGAAAGCGUGGGGAGCGAACAGGAUUAGAUACCCUGGUAGUCCACGCCGUAAACGUUGGGCGCUAGGUGUGGGGUUCUUCCACGGGCUCCGUGCCGUAGCUAACGCAUUAAGCGCCCCGCCUGGGGAGUACGGCCGCAAGGCUAAAACUCAAAGGAAUUGACGGGGGCCUCGCACAAGCGGCGGAGCAUGUUGCUUAAUUCGACGCAACGCGAAGAACCUUACCAAGGCUUGACAUCACCCGGAAACGUCCAGAGAUGGGCGCUCCCUUCGGGGCUGGGUGACAGGUGGUGCAUGGCUGUCGUCAGCUCGUGUCGUGAGAUGUUGGGUUAAGUCCCGCAACGAGCGCAACCCUCGUCCCAUGUUGCCAGCACGCCCUUUUGGGUGGUGGGGACUCAUGGGAGACUGCCGGGGUCAACUCGGAGGAAGGUGGGGAUGACGUCAAGUCAUCAUGCCCCUUAUGCCUUGGGCUGCAAACAUGCUACAAUGGCCGGUACAGUGGGUUGCGAGCCUGUGAGGGGGAGCGAAUCCCUAAAAGCCGGUCUCAGUUCGGAUUGGGGUUUGCAACUUGACCCCAUGAAGUCGGAGUCGCUAGUAAUCGCAGAUCAGCAAUGCUGCGGUGAAUACGUUCCCGGGCCUUGUACACACCGCCCGUCAAGUCAUGAAAGUCGGCAACACCCGAAGCCCGGGCUGAGUUGAUCCUGGCUGCAGGACGAAUCGCUGAUGACCUUAAGC